rnacentral:rRNA from 1 species
AUUGAACGCUGGCGGCAUGCUUUACACAUGCAAGUCGAACGGCAGCGCGGGGCAACCUGGCGGCGAGUGGCGAACGGGUGAGUAAUAUAUCGGAACGUACCCAAGAGUGGGGGAUAACGUAGCGAAAGUUACGCUAAUACCGCAUACGAUCUAAGGAUGAAAGCAGGGGAUCUUCGGACCUUGUGCUCCUGGAGCGGCCGAUAUCUGAUUAGCUAGUUGGUGAGGUAAAGGCUCACCAAGGCGACGAUCAGUAGCUGGUCUGAGAGGACGACCAGCCACACUGGAACUGAGACACGGUCCAG